GAUGAACGCUGGCGGCGUGCCUAAUACAUGCAAGUCGAGCGAACAGAUAAGGAGCUUGCUCCUUUGACGUUAGCGGCGGACGGGUGAGUAACACGUGGGUAACCUACCUAUAAGACUGGGAUAACUUCGGGAAACCGGAGCUAAUACCGGGUAAUAUUUCGAACCGCAUGGUUCGAUAGUGGAAGAUGGUUUUGCUAUCACUUAUAGAUGGACCCGCGCCGUAUUAGCUAGUUGGUAAGGUAACGGCUUACCAAGGCGACGAUACGUAGCCGACCUGAGAGGGUGAUCGGCCACACUGGAACUGAGACACGGUCCAGACUCCUACGGGAGGCAGCAGUAGGGAAUCUUCCGCAAAGGGCGAAAGCCUGACGGAGCAACGCCGCGUGAGUGAUGAAGGUCUUCGGAUCGUAAAACUCUGUUAUUAGGGAAGAACAUACGUGUAAGUAACUGUGCACGUCUUGACGGUACCUAAUCAGAAAGCCACGGCUAACUACGUG
rnacentral:rRNA from 1 species